GUACUUGGUUUGACAGCACAUAUACUUAAAAUCAGGACAAUACAGAAAAGAGUAGCAUGGCCCCUGCUCAAGAAUGACACAUAAAUUCGUGAAAAUUCCCUUAUCAAA